AAAAACUCUGGUGGUAUACGAUGGUUCCGCGUCUGAUUAGCUAGUUGGUGGGGUAAUGGCCUACCAAGGCAACGAUCAGUAGCCGGCCUGAGAGGGUGAACGGCCACAUUGGGACUGAGACACGGCCCAAACUCCUACGGGAGGCAGCAGUGGGGAAUAUUGCACAAUGGGGGAAACCCUGAUGCAGCGACGCCGCGUGAGUGAAGAAGUAUUUCGGUAUGUAAAGCUCUAUCAGCAGGGAAGAAAAUGACGGUACCUGAUUAAGAAGCCCCGGCUAACUACGUGCCAGCAGCCGCGGUAAUACGUAGGGGGCAAGCGUUAUCCGGAUUUACUGGGUGUAAAGGGAGCGUAGACGGCAGCACAAGUCUGGAGUGAAAUGCCGGGGCUUAACCCCGGAACUGCUUUGGAAACUGUGCAGCUAGAGUGCAGGAGAGGUAAGUGGAAUUCCUAGUGUAGCGGUGAAAUGCGUAGAUAUUAGGAGGAACACCAGUGGCGAAGGCGGCUUACUGGACUGUAACUGACGUUGAGGCUCGAAAGCGUGGGGAGCAAACAGGAUUAGAUACCCUGGUAGUCCACGCUGU
rnacentral:rRNA from 1 species